UCCAGACUCCUACGGGAGGCAGCAGUGAGGAAUAUUGGUCAAUGGCCGAGAGGCUGAACCAGCCAAGUCGCGUGAGGGAAGACGGCCCUACGGGUUGUAAACCUCUUUUGUCGGGGAGCAAAGCGAGUCACGUGUGACUCAUUGAGAGUACCCGAAGAAAAAGCAUCGGCUAACUCCGUGCCAGCAGCCGCGGUAAUACGGAGGAUGCGAGCGUUAUCCGGAUUUAUUGGGUUUAAAGGGUGCGCAGGCGGAAUGUCAAGUCAGCGGUAAAAUUUCGGGGCUCAACCCCGUCGUGCCGUUGAAACUGGCGUUCUUGAGUGAGCGAGAAGUAUGCGGAAUGCGUGGUGUAGCGGUGAAAUGCAUAGAUAUUGCGCAGAACUCCGAUUGCGAAGGCAGCCUACCGGCUCCUGUCUGACGCUGAGGCACGAAAGCGUGGGUAUCGAACAGGAUUAGAUACCCCAGUACAA
rnacentral:rRNA from 1 species